rnacentral:rRNA from 1 species
CAGCCGUAAACGAUGCGCGUUAGGUGUAUCGGUGACCACGAGUCACCGAGGUGCCGAAGGGAAACCGUGAAACGUGCCGCCUGGGAAGUACGGUCGCAAGGCUGAAACUUAAAGGAAUUGGCGGGGGAGCACAACAACGGGUGGAGCUUGCGGUUUAAUUGGAUUCAACGCCGGAAAUCUUACCGGGACCGACAGCAACAUGAAGGCCAAGCUGAAGACUUUGCCGGAUUAGCUGAGAGGAGGUGCAUGGCGUGGUCGUGU